ACAUCAAAUACGAAGGUACGUGAAAAACAUCAAAUACGAAGGUACGUAAAAAACAUCAAAUACAAAGGUACGUACGGUAAAAAACAUCAAAUACGAAGGUACGUAAAAAAAACAUCAAAUACAAAGGUACGUACGGUAAAAAACAUCAAAUACGAAGGUACGUACGGUAAAAAACAUCAAAUACGAAGGUACGUACGGUAAAAAACAUCAAAUACAAAGGUACGUGAAAAACAUCAAAUACGAAGGUACGUAAAAAACAUCAAAUACAAAGGUACGUACGGUAAAAAACAUCAAAUACGAAGAAUUCAUCAAGAAAGUGAUGGCUGGACCCUACCCUGACUAAACAGAAGGAAAUUUUUAACAUUAUACACAUCCAAAAACAUUUUCAAUUUUAUACAGCAAUGGACGUUAACUUUUUUAUUGGAUUAAAAGGAAAUUCAAAGGCUGGAUUUGUUUGAAACUGUGAAAUUUCGAACAUGCGCACUGGAGUUUAAAAACCGGAAGUGAAAUAAAAACAUUUGGAUUUUUUCUUCAUUUGGCGUGUUUAUUUUUGUAACUUAAAUUUUGCUUCUAAACGGAUACCAGUUCAUUAAUCAUUGCGUCACGUGACUGAUAUGUACAGUUUGUUCUAGAGGUGAUAUUGUCAGGAAAAUGAGGACUUCUUUGCAACUUGUGCUGAGUGAAUAACGCACUAUCUUUUUAUAAACUUAACUCUCCUUAAAAAUGUCUUUUUCCAAACAUGGUGUUUUAAAAGAAAAUUUCAUUCCAAGAGGAACAUAUACUUCUGAAAAGCAAGUUUUGACAAUGAAGUGACAUAUUUUUUUGUAUUUAUUUGUAAAUUAUGGUUAAUAUGAAUUAAUAAUAAAAUGCUGUAUUUUU